rnacentral:rRNA from 1 species
GUCGAGCGGAAUGACGAGAGCUUGCUCUCUGAUUUUAGCGGCGGACGGGUGAGUAACACGUGGGCAACCUGCCCUACAGAUGGGGAUAACUCCGGGAAACCGGGGCUAAUACCGAAUAAUCAGUUUGUCCGCAUGGACAAACUCUGAAAGACGGUUUCGGCUGUCACUGUAGGAUGGGCCCGCGGCGCAUUAGCUAGUUGGUGGGGUAAUGGCCUACCAAGGCAACGAUGCGUAGCCGACCUGAGAGGGUGAUCGGCCACACUGGGACUGAGACACGGCCCAGACUCCUACGGGAGGCAGCAGUAGGGAAUCUUCCACAAUGGACGAAAGUCUGAUGGAGCAAUGCCGCGUGAGCGAAGAAGGUUUUCGGAUCGUAAAGCUCUGUUGUAAGGGAAGAACACGUACGGGAGUAACUGCCCGUGCCAUGACGGUACCUUAUUAGAAAGCCACGGCUAACUACGUGCCAGCAGCCGCGGUAAUACGUAGGUGGCAAGCGUUGUCCGGAAUUAUUGGGCGUAAAGCACGCGCAGGCGGUUCUUUAAGUCUGAUGUGAAAGCCCACGGCUCAACCGUGGAGGGUCAUUGGAAACUGGAGAACUUGAGUACAGAAGAGGAAAGCGGAAUUCCACGUGUAGCGGUGAAAUGCGUAGAGAUGUGGAGGAACACCAGUGGCGAA